CUUGCUUUCCCUUCAUUUUCUUUCUUGCGUAAAAUCCUUCUUUCCCUAUUUUUUUUUCAUUGCAUUUUAUUAUUUUGUUAUCUUUUAAUUUGUUGCAUUUUCCUUAUUUUUAUCUCUCCUUCUAUGCUGCUUCGUUUUUUCCUUCCUCUCAUUUCUUUCCCUUCAUUCCCUCUUCUUCCUUCCUUCCAUUACUUUCCCUUCCAUUUUCUUUUAUUGUGUUGCAUCUUUCUUUCUUUAUCUCCGUCUCCUUCUGUGUAGCAUCGUUCCUUUCUUCCUUUUCUUUAGCAUCGUUUCUCCUUUCCUUCAUCUUUUUCCCUCCAUUCCUUUCCUUCCCAUAUUCUUUUUUCUUGCAUAUUUCAUUAUCUUCAUUUCCUUCUGUUUUUCCAGCGUUCCUUUCCUUCCUACAUUUUUUCCUUCAUUCCUACUUUCCUUCAUUCAUCUCUUCCCUCCAUUUUCUACCUUUCUUGCGUUCUAUCCUUUCUUCUUUACUUUUAUUGUUUUUUCUUAUGUUGUUUUCUCCCUUCGUGCUGUAUUUUUCCCUCCUUCCACUUUCUUCCCUCUUCUUCCUCCUCCUCUUCCUCUCCCCUUCCCUUUCUCCGGUGACUUCAGGUUUAUGUUUUGGUUUACUAAGCGAAUGAUUCUAUUUUUCUUUCCUUAUAUAUUUUUUGUUUGUUUGUGAAAUUUAAAUCCCCAGAUAUCACCGUCAAUAUUAUAAUUUAUUUUUAUUUGUAUGUUCACUUUCUAGUUUUCCCUUCUAUCUUGCUUCUCUUAUUUCCCUUUAUUAUUAUUCUCUUCAUUAUUAUUUAUCAUCCAGUAAGACUCAUGUAUUUGUUUUCUUUCACGGGAUCUCUUAUAUAUUUACAGUUUUCUCUUAUUUCUUCCUUUUAUAAUCCUUAAUAUUUAGACUUGUUUUCCUUUCUGUGUCCUCAAUUUAUUUUUCUAACUGUUGACUAUCUCCUCUCGACUAUUCACUUGUUUUUCCUCCUCCCCUUUCUCUGUCACACUUUCUUGCUUCUUAUUAUUAAACCAUCACUGCAUUCUUCCUCUUACGCCCUUCAUUUUCUUUCUUCCUUUUUUCAUUCCUCACAGGUUUGUUUUUCUUUCUUCUUUUUUCAUUCCUCACAGGUUUGUUUUUCUUUCUUCUUUUUUCAUUCCUCACAGGUUUGUUUUUCUUUCUUCUUUUUUCAUUCCUCACAGGUUUGUUUUUCUUUCUUCUUUUUUCAUUCCUCACAGGUUUGUUUUUCUUUCUUCUUUUUUCAUUCCUCACAGGUUUGUUUUUCUUUCUUCUUUUUUCAUUCCUCACAGGUUUGUUUUUCUUUCUUCUUUUUUCAUUCCUCACAGGUUUGUUUUUCUUUCUUCUUUUUUCAUUCCUCACAGGUUUGUUUUUCUUUCUUCUUUUUUCAUUCCUCACAGAUUUGUUUUUCUUUCUCC